UGACAGAUUAUUAGCAUUUUUUUUCAACCGAUUUCAGUUUAAUUACUUUUUGAUUCUAUAUUUUAUUGAUGUUAGAAUUUGCCAUUUGAACUCUUUUGUCUAUCAUUUUACCUGGUUUUUAUAUUUAUUGUGAUUUAGGGGUAAAGAUCUAACCUGAAGUUGGAGAAGUCGGAAAAAAAGAGCAAAAGAAUGAGUGAAAUUGUGGGAGGAACUGAUUUUCCUUCUACGACUUCAAUAACAUCAUUGGAAUCAAUAAAGACGUGAUAAUGCUGGUUUCGAUGCCAGUCGAAUUGCAGAAGUGAAAGCAUGGCUCAUUUCCCAAUUUAAUGGAUGACUUUUAUCUCACAUUUGUAACGGUGAAGGGUGCAGGUCAUGCGGCUCCAGAAUAUAACCCUGGACAAUGUCUUGCAACGCUCAAUUGAUGGCUCUUUUUAUAGCCUUUAUAGAUUCAGAUUGAUGGCUAAGUUUUUAGGGUUCAUCCAUCACACCUUUUUAGCACUGUGAAAUCAAGAAGAAAAAAGUGAGAAAAAAUUAUAUAAUGAAAGCAAACUUCAAAAUAAAGUAAUAGCAAUGCCAUGUAAUGUUACAAUGCACGUACGUCAUCAAAUCAAAGAUGCCUUGGCUUCUAUU